ensembl:lncRNA
GUGAGUGAGCUGCUAUUUUUAUUAUAAAAAAUCCCCUCAUCAAUUGUUUGAUUUGUUGAUUAUUGUUUUUUUGUUGUUGCUGUUGAAGAGUGAUUUAACUAACGUUUUUAAUCUGAAAGCGAUGCGAUAGGCUUUAAAUGUUGUAUAUAUUAUUAAUAUAGUUGCCGAUUGGUUGUCUGACUAUCCGCCUAAUCAGUUAAUUGACAAAUAACGUCACGUGUCCCUCCCUCGUGUGCACAAACGCGUCCCUGCAUCCUCACUAGCUGUGCGUUUGUCUCGAUCGUGCGAUCGUUCCCCUCCGCACGCGUGUGCGUGUGCGCAUAUGUUUGGUCCACCAGAGCAUGUGUCUCCCCGCGGAGCAUUGACAGCCCCCCCCCCUCCUCCUCCUCCUCCUCCUUCUCCUCCUCCCCCCUCCCUCCCCCUUUCUGUUCCAGCCGACGCUCUAAUUGAAAAGGGAGUGAGUGUCAGCCGUUAAGUGUGCGCGUGUUCGUGCGCACUAAUCUUCACGCUCUGCGGCUCUACGUUUCUGUCGCUCAAACUCCCAUGAGCGCUCUGCGCAGCAGUGUAUGUAUGUGUAUGUGUGUGAGAUAUUUUCUCAUUUUCCCUGCCUCGCGUGGAGCGCUGUGACACAAACACAAAUUCUGGAAAAAAUAAAUAAUGUACACGCUAAAAAAAAAACCUUUAACGAGUGAGCGGCAACUCGCAAGUUGUUUUUUACGCCGAUGCGCCUAUAGGUGCAGAAGCCUGCCACCCUUCCUUGUGUGAGGGGGUUAAGGCGGAGAAAAUAGAGGUGCAACCCGGCCCCCCCCCACCAACACACACACACACACACACACACACACACUCCACCCUGGGAGUCUCCCUGCAUUGAUUAGCAAUAAGCCAGACGAUAUAAUGGUGUUAUAACUCAGAAGGAGACGGCUUUAUGGGGCGCAGGGAAAGGGAUCGGGUGGAGGUAGGAGGGAGGGGGGGGGGCAAAAUCAGUUUGCUCCAGAGCCUUGUCAGCUGCACACCAUCUCAUGGGUCCAGAGGGACCAGGCGGGCGCAGGACGUGUCUGUGUUGCUGCGUCGGGGCUGAUCACGCAGGCUCAGAAAAAACGCAACCCCUG